ncrna:Schmidtea mediterranea microRNA sme-mir-754c precursor (sme-mir-754c-1)
AUCCACCCAGCAUGUUGCUUGGGGUAUUACUAUAUUUAUUAAUAUAGUUUUAUCUUCAAGCAAUAUCGGAGGUGGAA